rnacentral:rRNA from 1 species
AUUGAACGCUGGCGGCAUGCUUUACACAUGCAAGUCGAGCGGCAGCGCGGGGGCAACCCUGGCGGCGAGCGGCGAACGGGUGAGUAAUGCAUCGGAACGUAUCCUCGAGUGGGGGAUAACCCAGCGAAAGUUGGGCUAAUACCGCAUGAGCUCUGAGGAGGAAAGCGGGGGACCUGCGAGGGCCUCGCGCUGGAGGAGCGGCCGAUGUCCGAUUAGCUAGUUGGUGGGGUAAAGGCUUACCAAGGCGACGAUCGGUAGCUGGUCUGGGAGGAUGAUCAGCCACACUGGGACUGAGACACGGCCCAGACUCCUACGGGAGGCAGCAGUGGGGAAUUUUGGACAAUGGGGGCAACCCUGAUCCAGCCAUGCCGCGUGAGUGAAGAAGGCCUUCGGGUUGUAAAGCUCUUUCGGACGGAACGAAAUGGGCGGGACUAAUACUCCUGUCUGAUGACGGUACCGUAAGAAGAAGCACCGGCUAACUACGUG